rnacentral:rRNA from 2 species
GAACGUGACGUCAAUUAUACUACAUGUCAAGUCGAGCGAACAGAUGAGAAGCUUGCUUCUCUGAUGUUAGCGGCGGACGGGUGAGUAACACGUGGGUAACCUACCUAUAAGACUGGGAUAACUCCGGGAAACCGGGGCUAAUACCGGAUAAUAUUUUGAACCGCAUGGUUCAAUAGUGAAAGACGGUUUCGGCUGUCACUUAUAGAUGGACCCGCGCCGUAUUAGCUAGUUGGUAAGGUAACGGCUUACCAAGGCGACGAUACGUAGCCGACCUGAGAGGGUGAUCGGCCACACUGGAACUGAGACACGGUCCAGACUCCUACGGGAGGCAGCAGUAGGGAAUCUUCCGCAAUGGGCGAAAGCCUGACGGAGCAACGCCGCGUGAGUGAUGAAGGUCUUCGGAUCGUAAAACUCUGUUGUUAGGGAAGAACAAAUUUGUUAGUAACUGAACAAGUCUUGACGGUACCUAACCAGAAAGCCACGGCUAACUACGUGCCAGCAGCCGCGGUAAUACGUAGGUGGCAAGCGUUAUCCGGAAUUAUUGGGCGUAAAGCGCGCGUAGGCGGUUUCUUAAGUCUGAUGUGAAAGCCCACGGCUCAACCGUGGAGGGUCAUUGGAAACUGGGAAACUUGAGUGCAGAAGAGGAGAGUGGAAUUCCAUGUGUAGCGGUGAAAUGCGCAGAGAUAUGGAGGAACACCAGUGGCGAAGGCGGCUCUCUGGUCUGUAACUGACGCUGAUGUGCGAAAGCGUGGGGAUCAAACAGGAUUAGAUACCCUGGUAGUCCACGCCGUAAACGAUGAGUGCUAAGUGUUAGGGGGUUUCCGCCCCUUAGUGCUGCAGCUAACGCAUUAAGCACUCCGCCUGGGGGGAGUACGACCGCAAGGGUUGAAACUCAAAAGGAAUUGACGGGGACCCGCACAAGCGGUGGAGCAUGUGGUUAAUUCGAAGCAACGCGAAGAACCUUACCAAAUCUUGACAUCCUUUGACCGCUCUAGAGAUAGAGUCUUCCCCUUCGGGGGACAAAGUGACAGGUGGUGCAUGGUUGUCGUCAGCUCGUGUCGUGAGAUGUUGGGUUAAGUCCCGCAACGAGCGCAACCCUUAAGCUUAGUUGCCAUCAUUAAGUUGGGCACUCUAGGUUGACUGCCGGUGACAAACCGGAGGAAGGUGGGGAUGACGUCAAAUCAUCAUGCCCCUUAUGAUUUGGGCUACACACGUGCUACAAUGGAUAAUACAAAGGGCAGCGAAUCCGCGAGGCCAAGCAAAUCCCAUAAAAUUAUUCUCAGUUCGGAUUGUAGUCUGCAACUCGACUACAUGAAGCUGGAAUCGCUAGUAAUCGUAGAUCAGCAUGCUACGGUGAAUACGUUCCCGGGUCUUGUACACACCGCCCGUCACACCACGAGAGUUUGUAACACCCGAAGCCGGUGGAGUAACCUUUUAGGAGCUAGCCGUCGAAGGUGAUCAAAAAU